rnacentral:rRNA from 1 species
UUUUGUGAUGACAGCGCAAGGCUCCACCUCUUCACCUUUUUGCCCUUUGGCCGAACAGAGAAGUUAAACCUUGCCACGCCGAUGGUACUGCGAAAGCGGGAGAGUAGGUAAUCGCCACCU